rnacentral:rRNA from 1 species
AUGAACGCUAGCUACAGGCUUAACACAUGCAAGUCGAGGGGCAGCAUGGUCUUAGCUUGCUAAGGCCGAUGGCGACCGGCGCACGGGUGAGUAACACGUAUCCAACCUGCCGUCUACUCUUGGACAGCCUUCUGAAAGGAAGAUUAAUACAAGAUGGCAUCAUGAGUCCGCAUGUUCACAUGAUUAAAGGUAUUCCGGUAGACGAUGGGGAUGCGUUCCAUUAGAUAGUAGGCGGGGUAACGGCCCACCUAGUCUUCGAUGGAUAGGGGUUCUGAGAGGAAGGUCCCCCACAUUGGAACUGAGACACGGUCCAAACUCCUACGGGAGGCAGCAGUGAGGAAUAUUGGUCAAUGGGCGAGAGCCUGAACCAGCCAAGUAGCGUGAAGGAUGACUGCCCUAUGGGUUGUAAACUUCUUUUAUAAAGGAAUAAAGUCGGGUAUGCAUACCCGUUUGCAUGUACUUUAUGAAUAAGGAUCGGCUAACUCCGUGCCAGCAGCCGCGGUAAUACGGAGGAUCCGAGCGUUAUCCGGAUUUAUUGGGUUUAAAGGGAGCGUAGAUGGAUGUUUAAGUCAGUUGUGAAAGUUUGCGGCUCAACCGUAAAAUUGCAGUUGAUACUGGAUAUCUUGAGUGCAGUUGAGGCAGGCGGAAUUCGUGGUGUAGCGGUGAAAUGCUUAGAUAUCACGAAGAACUCCGAUUGCGAAGGCAGCCUGCUAAGCUGCAACUGACAUUGAGGCUCGAAAGUGUGGGUAUCAAACAGGAUUAGAUACCCUGGUAGUCCACACGGUAAACGAUGAAUACUCGCUGUUUGCGAUAUACGGCAAGCGGCCAAGCGAAAGCGUUAAGUAUUCCACCUGGGGAGUACGCCGGCAACGGUGAAACUCAAAGGAAUUGACGGGGGCCCGCACAAGCGGAGGAACAUGUGGUUUAAUUCGAUGAUACGCGAGGAACCUUACCCGGGCUUAAAUUGCAGAUGAAUUACGGUGAAAGCCGUAAGCCGCAAGGCAUCUGUGAAGGUGCUGCAUGGUUGUCGUCAGCUCGUGCCGUGAGGUGUCGGCUUAAGUGCCAUAACGAGCGCAACCCUUGUUGUCAGUUACUAACAGGUUCUGCUGAGGACUCUGACAAGACUGCCAUCGUAAGAUGUGAGGAAGGUGGGGAUGACGUCAAAUCAGCACGGCCCUUACGUCCGGGGCUACACACGUGUUACAAUGGGGGGUACAGAGGGCCGCUACCACGCGAGUGGAUGCCAAUCCCAAAAACCUCUCUCAGUUCGGACUGGAGUCUGCAACCCGACUCCACGAAGCUGGAUUCGCUAGUAAUCGCGCAUCAGCCACGGCGCGGUGAAUACGUUCCCGGGCCUUGUACACACCGCCCGUCAAGCCAUGAAAGCCGGGGGUACCUGAAGUACGUAACCGCAAGGAGCGUCCUAGGGUAAAACUGGUAAUUGGGGCU